UACAUGGGGUGCAAACGUUGCUCGGAAUUAUUGGGCGUAAAGCGCGCGUAGGCGGUUAUCUAAGUCGGAUGUGAAAGCCCUCGGCUUAACUGAGGAAGUGCACCCGAAACUGGAUAGCUAGAGUACGAAAGAGGAUCGCGGAAUUCCCGGUGUAGAGGUGAAAUUCGUAGAUAUCGGGUGGAACACCAGUGGCGAAGGCGGCGAUCUGGGAAGAUACUGACGCUGAGGUGCGAAAGCGUGGGGAGCAAACAGG
rnacentral:rRNA from 1 species